GCAGCGAGAGUGGUCAUCUGUCACUUGCACAAGGCUACUGAACAUCCUCUGCCCUGAUGAUAGCGGUGCCCUUCAUGCUUGCCAAAAAUGGUGCCUCGGAGGCCCUCAUGCUGGAAGACAGGAAUGUGCCUGCCAUGAAGCAACAUGACAACCAACAUGCACGUGGAUUUGGGAAAGACAUCAAAGGCCGAGCCAUAUGGUAACUGCUCUUCCUGUUGGGAGUCUCACGGGGACUGGAGCCUUUCCCAGCUGACAUUGGGCAAGAUUCAGGGUACACCCUGGACAGGUCCAGGGUACAACCAGUCACACCUACGGCCAAUGUAGAGUCACCAGUUAACCUGCAUGUCUUUGGACUGUGGGAAGAAGUACCCAGAGAAAUCCCAUGCUGACACGGGGAGAACAUGCAAACUCCGCACAGAAGGGUUCCCCCACCCUGGGUUUCAACGAAGAACUAUGCUCACAAUAAUUUUGUAAAGUAAAUGCCACUUUUUGAGAUACGCAUUUUAACUUUUUUUAUUAUUACGAUGUUAACUUUGAAUGUAAAUGA